rnacentral:tRNA from 1 species
UCCCUGAUAGCUCAGUUGGUAAAGAAUCUGCCUGCAAUGCAGGAGACCCUGGUUCGAUUCCUGGAUCGAGAA